UACGGGGGGAGCAAGCGUUGUUCGGAUUUACUGGGCGUAAAGGGCGCGUAGGCGGCCACCGCAAGUCGACUGUGAAAUCUCCGGGCUUAACCCGGAAAGGUCAGCCGAUACUGCGGGGCUAGAGUGCAGAAGGGGCAACUGGAAUUCUCGGUGUAGCGGUGAAAUGCGUAGAUAUCGAGAGGAACACCUACGGCGAAGGCGGGUUGCUGGGCUGACACUGACGCUGAUGCGCGAAAGCUAGGGGAGCGAACGGG
rnacentral:rRNA from 1 species